AUUUUUAAUUGGCAACUUUGUAACAUCAUAGCCAUUGGACUGGGGGGCUAUCAAGGCAUUGAGCAGGAACUAUAGUUGUAUAUACCAUCCGAACCGAUGAUUUCAAGCCAAAGUUGUUUGAUAUAGAAUUUAAUUAGCUUGGAAGGCCAAGUAUGCGACGAUAUCAAAGUGACAGAAUUCUGCUAUAUAAUGAAAGAAGUGAAACGCCAAUAUUAAAAGAAAACGCAAUCCCUCGAUCGUAAGAAGAAAAACCAUGUGCUUUCUAGUGAAUUGCAAACAAUGCGGGAAGCAUUCAUGGGGAGGUUGUGGCCAACA
rnacentral:misc_RNA from 1 species